ACGGGAGGCAGCAGUGGGGGAUAUUGCACAAUGGGGGAAACCCUGAUGCAGCGACGCCGCGUGAGUGAUGAAGUAUUUCGGUAUGUAAAGCUCUAUCAGCAGGGAAGAAAAUGACGGUACCUGACUAAGAAGCACCGGCUAAAUACGUGCCAGCAGCCGCGGUAAUACGUAUGGUGCAAGCGUUAUUCGGAUUUACUGGGUGUAAAGGGAGCGUAGACGGCAUGGCAAGUCUGAAGUGAAAUGCGGGGGCUCAACCCCUGAACUGCUUUGGAAACUGUCAAGCUAGAGUGUCGGAGAGGUAAGUGGAAUUCCUAGUGUAGCGGUGAAAUGCGUAGAUAUUAGGAGGAACACCAGUGGCGAAGGCGGCUUACUGGACGAUAACUGACGUUGAGGCUCGAAAGCGUGGGGAGCAAACAGGAUUAGAUACCCUGGUA
rnacentral:rRNA from 1 species